GUCGAGCGGUAAGGCCUUUCGGGGUACACGAGCGGCGAACGGGUGAGUAACACGUGGGUGAUCUGCCCUGCACUCUGGGAUAAGCUUGGGAAACUGGGUCUAAUACCGGAUAUGACCGCAUGCCGCAUGGUGUGUGGUGGAAAGAUUUAUCGGUGCAGGAUGGGCCCGCGGCCUAUCAGCUUGUUGGUGGGGUAAUGGCCUACCAAGGCGACGACGGGUAGCCGACCUGAGAGGGUGACCGGCCACACUGGGACUGAGACACGGCCCAGACUCCUACGGGAGGCAGCAGUGGGGAAUAUUGCACAAUGGGCGGAAGCCUGAUGCAGCGACGCCGCGUGAGGGAUGAAGGCCUUCGGGUUGUAAACCUCUUUCAGCAGGGACGAAGCGUGAGUGACGGUACCUGCAGAAGAAGCACCGGCUAACUACGUGCCAGCAGCCGCGGUAAUACGUAGGGUGCGAGCGUUGUCCGGAAUUACUGGGCGUAAAGAGUUCGUAGGCGGUUUGUCGCGUCGUUUGUGAAAACCCGGGGCUCAACUUCGGGCUUGCAGGCGAUACGGGCAGACUUGAGUGUUUCAGGGGAGACUGGAAUUCCUGGUGUAGCGGUGAAAUGCGCAGAUAUCAGGAGGAACACCGGUGGCGAAGGCGGGUCUCUGGGAAACAACUGACGCUGAGGAACGAAAGCGUGGGUAGCAAACAGGAUUAGAUACCCUGGUAGUCCACGCCGUAAACGGUGGGCGCUAGGUGUGGGUUCCUUCCACGGGAUCUGUGCCGUAGCUAACGCAUUAAGCGCCCCGCCUGGGGAGUACGGCCGCAAGGCUAAAACUCAAAGGAAUUGACGGGGGCUCGCACAAGCGGCGGAGCAUGUGGAUUAUUUCGAUGCAACGCGAAGAACCUUA
rnacentral:rRNA from 1 species